rnacentral:rRNA from 1 species
GAUGAACGCUAGCUACAGGCUUAACACAUGCAAGUCGCGGGGCAGCAUGGGGGUUGCUUGCCAUCCCCGAUGGCGACCGGCGCACGGGUGAGUAACGCGUAUCCAACCUGCCCUUCACCACGGGAUAACCCGGCGAAAGUCGGACUAAUACCGUAUGUUGUCCAUUGACGGCAUCCGAUUUGGACGAAAGGCUUGGCGGUGAGGGAUGGGGAUGCGUCCGAUUAGCCAGACGGCGGGGUAACGGCCCACCGUGGCUACGAUCGGUAGGGGUUCUGAGAGGAAGGUCCCCCACACUGGAACUGAGACACGGUCCAGACUCCUACGGGAGGCAGCAGUGAGGAAUAUUGGUCAAUGGGCGUAAGCCUGAACCAGCCAAGUAGCGUGCAGGAGGACGGCCCUAUGGGUUGUAAACUGCUUUUAUGCGGGGAUAAAGUGGCCCACGUGUGGGCUUUUGCAGGUACCGCAUGAAUAAGAACCGGCUAAUUCCGUG